rnacentral:rRNA from 1 species
GAUUAACGCUGGCGGCGUGCCUAACACAUGCAAGUCGAACGAGGUAGCAAUACUUAGUGGCAGACGGGUGAGUAACGCGUGGUCAACCUACCGUUGUGUGGGGGAUAACUAGCCGAAGGUUAGCUAAUACCGCAUACGUCUCCGAGCGGCAUCGCUUGGCGAUAAAAGAAAGCAAUUCGCACGACGACGGGACCGCGUCCCAUUAGCUAGAUGGUGGGGUAACGGCCUACCAUGGCNCCGAUGGGUAGCUGGUUUGAGAGAGCGACCAGCCACACUGGGACUGAGAAACGGCCCAGACUCCUACGGGAGGCAGCAGUGAGGAAUUUUCCGCAAUGGGCGCAAGCCUGACGGAGCGACGCCGCGUGUGGGAAGAAGGCCUUAGGGUCGUAAACCACUGUCGAAGGGGAAGAUAAUGACGGUACCCUUGGAGGAACGCCCCGGCUAACUACGUGCCAGCAGCCGC